rnacentral:lncRNA from 1 species
UCCGGCGAGUUUUGCUGGCGCCGUGAGAGGGUGGGUUAUUGUCCUAAGUUCUGUUUUAUGAGGUUUGGUCGAGGUGUUGUGGUGGGUAAAGAGGGAUCCACCAAGAAGCUUGUGAUAUUCUGGUGAGUUUAUGUUUGGUUUGGGUUGUUUGUCGGUUCCUAUCUGGUUUCUGGUACGCGGUGGUUGUAUUCAGCCGGUUCAGAUGUGGGUGCUUAAGCUUUCUUGGAUCUGGUCAGACAACCUUCCAAACGAGGCAUCAGAUGUCAGAGAUCUUCUGGUCAUCUUCCUGUCAGCUUCUUUUCUUCUGGCUCUAUUUUCCGGCGACCUGACUCCCGUGUUUCGGGCUUCGUCUCUGGCUUACAGUGGCUAUCUUAGCACUAUAAGGCUGGCUUUUGGCUCUGACGGUGUCCCUUUCUGUCCGGGAAUCGUUGGCCUUUGUCUCGGAUCAAUCGUUUGAAUAUGAAUCAUGUUUCAGAUUGGAAGUUUGCGUGAAGUGAAGUUGGAAACUUUGGUUUGGUCUGUUGAAUACAUUAGCGGCAGGUCCUCCUAUAUGGUUGCUUAAUUGCUUUGUGAAUGAGGAAGUCCAAUCCUCUGUUUAAUGGCUAUGAGUAGUCUUUGGAAUUCUUUUUUGGUAUAGGUAUGGCGACGGAAAGUGUAUUAUCAAGGCACGCCAGGAAGAUUGCAACAAAACUUGUUGUCCAACCAAAAUAGUAUGAUGUAACAACACUAGAUUCCGAAAGUAUAAUAUCUCCAUCGUGUAUUUGAGCAUGAAGUAGAUAAAAAGUUGCAAUACCUCAUAUCUUUGAAAGCUAUUGCUGAUUACUUCAGAACUCAAGGUGGAAGAUGAAGAUGAUUGCUAUGAAAGCGAAGAAUCUGCAGAAGAUUCUCGCAGACCUGCAAAAUCUUUUGGUGAUGCAUAUUCAAAUCAGUUAUUCCAUCUGUUCGAAGACCUUCCUCGACCACUCUAUUGUUUUCUUCUCUGUCCAUCACUGCAUAUCAUUAAAGAGAGUCCAAUCAAUACUCGUUUCAAUCAGUAAAGGAACAGUUUUCCUAUAAAAACUCUAACAAAAGUAUUACUUAAUGUUGUUUCAUUGUGAUUUCUGUGUGGCAUACUGAAAAUGAAUUUUAAUGCAGAUACACAAUAAUAGUGUCCAAGUCAAUAAGAUUAUUUAAAAUAAUUUUCAGUUUUCAUUCAAUAAAUCUAAGGCAUAAAUUUUCUUAGAAUUUAUAAAAUAUUUGAAUUGUUGUAAAUAUUGAUAUGCGUUCAUGAGCUUCUAAAAAUUUGUGAGUUACUUAUGUAUGUAACCCUAUAGAUCUCCGCUUUAUUUUCUAAUAUUUUUUAAGAAAUGAACAUAUAAUUUGAUAAAUUUUAUGAAAAUACAUGCACAUUUAAGCAAUAAAUAAAACUAUUUUGAUUUGACUUAAUUAUAAUCAGAAAUAACUACAAUUGAGUUUGAGUUUUAAAAAUAAAUGUAACUCAAUAUAUGUACUCACAACAUGAGUGACUCAACUAAUCCAACUUAUAUCUAAAUUCAUAGAUUUAACUACAAUAAAAUAUAUAAUUUUAUAAUAAUGAUUUAUCCACUUUAUAAAUAUAAAUUAUAGGAUGACUGAAAACAUAUUAAUAAAUAAAAAUAAAAUAUUAACCAACUGUUACAGUUUAGUUAUUUUGUAAAAUUUAUAUAUAUGCAUGAGACUUUAUUAUAUUAUCAUUAUAUUAAUAUAUGUAAUUUGGAACUGUAGUUUAUUUUUUAUUUUUUCAUUUUAAGCACAAUAAUCUUAAGUUAAAUAAUAAUCUUACUAAAAUAUAUUUACAUAUCUAAGACAACAAUCAACCUAAAUGCAAAUAAGAAAAUUAAUCAAAAUUUUAAUUUAUUUAAAAUAAAAAAAAUAUUAUAGUUGAAUUUAUAGGAAUCGAUGAAAUCCAAUAUAUCUAAAUGAGAAUUAAAUUGAUUAUAAGAGCAACAAAACCGACGAGAUAUAACAUAUCAAAAAUUAUAUGUGUAAUUAAUGUAAUAUAAAAUUAUUAAUAUAAAUUAUACAUACAAAUAAUGAAGUAACAUAAAAUUAAAGUAAAUUUCAAUCAAUUAUUAUAAUAUAUUUACUUUAUAAAUAUUAAAAAUCUGUGCAUAAACACGGGAAAGUCAUCUAGUAAAUAUUUUAAAAGAAGUUGAACAUGAUAAAACCGAAUCAUUUUCUAUUGUUCUUCAUUUAGUAGUAGCAUAGAUAUGGUUGAAUAAUUUAUUACCUCUUUUUACGUAAUUAAGAGUACCAAACAAAAAGUAGAUCUAGAUCUUCUCUCUCCGGUGUCCGGCGAGUUUUGCUGGCGCCGUGAGAGGGUGGGUUAUUGUCCUAAGUUCUGUUUUAUGAGGUUUGGUCGAGGUGUUGUGGUGGGUAAAGAGGGAUCCACCAAGAAGCUUGUGAUAUUCUGGUGAGUUUAUGUUUGGUUUGGGUUGUUUGUCGGUUCCUAUCUGGUUUCUGGUACGCGGUGGUUGUAUUCAGCCGGUUCAGAUGUGGGUGCUUAAGCUUUCUUGGAUCUGGUCAGACAACCUUCCAAACGAGGCAUCAGAUGUCAGAGAUCUUCUGGUCAUCUUCCUGUCAGCUUCUUUUCUUCUGGCUCUAUUUUCCGGCGAC